CAUUAAGAAGCUAACACAGCAUUAACCUUUUAAGUUAAAAAUUGAGAGUAUUCAAUCUCUCCUUAAUGA
rnacentral:tRNA from 5 species